AGUCUGUUCAAAGGGCCUAUGGUGGGAAGGAGGUGAGUUUGAGGAACUCAAAGGGGCAGCGUGGCCAGAGUGAAGAAGUGAGUGAGGGCUGUGUGAAGACGGCUCUUCUCCCCUCUUCUAAUGUUUACUCCCACGUGGAGGAGGGAACUCAGCUGUAGCAUGCCUGGCCUCUUUCUGCCCCUCACUCACCUUUCUCGGGGUGGAGUAGGAAAGACUCUGUAGUGGGCAGGUGUAGCUCAGAGUUUUCCUUUCCUUUUAGGGAGGGCGUUGCCUGCAGGGAGCUUGGGCUUCCUCUGGUCCUCCAGUGAGGGGCCCUGCCUGUGGAGCGGGCACCCCCAUCAGUCCUCCCCUGCAACCUGGGGCAAGGAAGUCUGCCUAACCUGGGGCUCAGAGCAUGGAGGCACACCAGUGCACAGAUUCAAGCUACAUCCUCCAAGCUGCCUUUCUCAUGAGCAGAGACGCUUUUCCAACUGCUUGUUCCUAUGUUCUAUCUCUCCAUUGUCAAAAACUUGGGUGGAAAAGGGAAGCUACUUAUGGGGCUUACAAAGACCCCAAGAGGUAUAGGUUGUGACCAUAGAGAUGAUCAGGUUCAAACCAUUCAGAGCCUCACAGCCAAAAAGGUUUGGAUUUCGUCCUACAAGCAAUGGAAGUCUUUGAAGGGCUUUAUAAGCAGGAAAGCGACUGAUGAGAUUUGCAUGUUGAGAAGUUCCUUCUGGCUGCUCCACAGAGAACAGAAUGGGGCAUUCUUAAUCCUGGGUGAUCCUCUUUCUCUGGGCCCCGAGAGGGGAAAGAGUCAGAAGCAGGGGGCAGCUGUGACUCCCUCUGACCGGUCCUCCCAAGCUCAUGUAGGCUGGAAAUAUACUCAGAAACAUAGGGCUUACUUUGAACAAUGGAUUAAAAGACAAGUAUUUCAUUGGUGCAGAGAUGAGCUCAAAUCUGAAAGCUGGUCCAAGCAGCAGAAUGCUCAGAGCCUCACACCGGCUUAACUGGGCCAGGGAGUCAGGACCCUGCUGACAAAGAGAAAUUGAGAAGAAGGAAACCUCCUAGAGAAUUCAGAUCAGAAAUGAAAUACUUUGGCUUCAACUUGUGCUUCUGGAGAGAUCCUUAUUCCUGUCCCUCAACACUCUUGACUCAGCAUUCAGAGGCCAGUCCCUGAGAGGCAGCAAUUAC
rnacentral:lncRNA from 1 species